rnacentral:rRNA from 1 species
UACGUAGGGGCAAGCGUUGUCCGGAUUUAUUGGGCGUAAAGAGCGUGUAGGCGGCUGGGUAGGUCCGUUGUGAAAACUCGAGGCUCAACCUCGAGACGCCGAUGGAAACCAUCCAGCUAGAGUCCGGAAGAGGAGAGUGGAAUUCCUGGUGUAGCGGUGAAAUGCGCAGAUAUCAGGAAGAACACCCGUGGCUAAGGCGGCUCUCUAGUACGGUACUGACGCUGAGACGCGAAAGCGUGGGGAGCGAACAGG